rnacentral:rRNA from 1 species
GAAACUGCCGGUAAUACCGGAUAAUGUCUCCGGACCAAAGGUGUGAUUCCGCCUGGGGAUGGGUCUGCGUCCUAUUAGCUUGUUGGUGGGGUAAUGGCCUACCAAGGCAAAGAUGGGUACCGGGUGUGAGAGCAUGGCCCGGCUCACUGGGACUGAGACACUGCCCAGACACCUACGGGUGGCUGCAGUCGAGAAUCUUCCGCAAUGGGCGCAAGCCUGACGGAGCGACGCCGCGUGCGGGAUGAAGGCCUUCGGGUUGUAAACCGCUGUCAGUGGGGAGGAAAUGCAUGAGGGUUCUCUCUCAUGUUUGACCGAUCCGCAGAGGAAGUGCAGGCUAAGUUCGUGCCAGCAGCCGCGGUAACACGAACUGCACAAACGUUAUUCGGAAUCACUGGGCUUAAAGAGUUCGUAGGCGGCCGGGUCAGUCGGGUGUGAAAUCCCUCGGCUCAACCGAGGAACUGCGCCCGAUACUGCUCGGCUUGAGGGGGUCAGAGGUGAGCGGAACUGAUGGUGGAGCGGUGAAAUGCGUUGAUAUCAUCAGGAACACCGGUGGCGAAAGCGGCUCACUGGGGCUUU